GCGCUUGUAGCUCAGCUGGAUAGAGCGUUGGAUUCCGGUUCCAAAGGCCGGGGGUUCGAAUCCCUCCAAGCGCA
rnacentral:tRNA from 1 species